UCCGCAAAUCGUUCUAUCGCUGUUCUAUAAUCAAAAAUAGAAAAGAGGAAAGUCCGGACAACACAGAGUAGCACACCACCUAACUGGUGGGGACAGGCAACUGUUACAGCAAGUACCACAGAAAAUAACCGCCCGCUUCUGUUAAUUAGAAGUGUGGUAAGGGUGAAAACGUGCGAUAAGUGCGCACGUAUUGUUUAGGCAACUAAAUAAUAGGGUAAACCUUGUGCGUUGAAAGACCAAAUACAUCGGCACGUAUUGCUACAUGGCAAUUACAAAGGGCUGCUCGUCCAAUGUCGAGGGGUAGGUCGUUGGAACAAUGGAGUGAUCCAUUGUCUAGAUAAAUGAUAGAAGCUAAUCGCCUCAAAACGCUUAGUACAGAAUCCGGCUUAUAGAUUUGCGGAAUGG
rnacentral:RNase_P_RNA from 1 species